UAGUUUGAUCAUGGCUCAGAAUCAACGCUGGCGGCGUGCCUCAGACAUGCAAGUCGAACGAUUAAAGCUCUCUUCGGAGAGUGUAUAGAGUGGCGCACGGGUGAGUAACACGUAAGUAAUCUACCCUCGAGUGGGGAAUAACAACCGGAAACGGUUGCUAAUACCGCAUAAUGCAGCGGCACCGCAAGGUGACAGUUGUUAAAGAUUUAUCGCUUGAGGAGGAGCUUGCGGCAGAUUAGCUAGUUGGUAGGGUAACGGCUUACCAAGGCUACGAUCUGUAACCGGUCUAAGAGGACGGUCGGUCACACUGACACUGAAUAACGGGUCAGACUCCUACGGGAGGCAGCAGUCGGGAAUUUUGGGCAAUGGGCGAAAGCCUGACCCAGCAACGCCGCGUGAAGGAUGAAGUAUUUCGGUAUGUAAACUUCGAAAGAAUAGGAAGAAUUAAUGACGGUACUAUUUAUAAGGUCCGGCUAACUACGUG
rnacentral:rRNA from 1 species